rnacentral:rRNA from 1 species
GAUGAACGCUGGCGGCGUGCUUAACACAUGCAAGUCGAACGGUGACGAGGAGCUUGCUCCUCUGAUCAGUGGCGAACGGGUGAGUAACACGUGAGUAACCUGCCCCAGACUCUGGGAUAACAGUUGGAAACAGCUGCUAAUACCGGAUACGAGACGGAGAGGCAUCUCUACCGUCUGGAAAGUUUUUCGGUCUGGGAUGGACUCGCGGCCUAUCAGCUUGUUGGUGAGGUAAUGGCUCACCAAGGCGACGACGGGUAGCCGGCCUGAGAGGGCGACCGGUCACACUGGGACUGAGACACGGCCCAGACUCCUACGGGAGGCAGCAGUGGGGAAUAUUGCACAAUGGGCGAAAGCCUGAUGCAGCGACGCCGCGUGAGGGAUGACGGCCUCGGUUGUAACCGUCUUUCUAGCAGGGAAGAA